AUGGAUUUUCCCAUGGAUCUGCAGCCCCAAGGAGGCGUGGAAUUCAUCAGAACAUUCCGGAAAGCCCAAGAGGAUCAAAGCAUCAACCUCCCCAAAAACCUGGAGCAGCUGAUCCGCAAUUCCACCUUCCCCCAAUCCCCGGAUUCCCAGGUCUGGAAAUUCUUCUACGAUCUCCCAGGUAGGAAAUUCCCAAAAUUCCAGGGGAAAAAUGGGAUUGGAGGAAUUCUGGGAUUGUCCUGGAUUUUUUCCCGAUUUUUUUCCAAUUUUUUCCUCUUUUUUCCUCUUUUUUUUCCCAAUUUUUUCUGUUUUUUCCUCAUUUUUCUCCACUUUUUUCUGUGUUUUUUCUCAAUUUUUUUCCUCCUUUUUUCCCAGUUUUUUCCUCCUUUUUUCCCAAUUUUUUUCCUUUUCUCCCAAUUUUUUUCCUCUUUUUUUCCCAAUUUUUUCCCCAUUUUUUCCUCCUUUUUUCCCAAUUUUUUCCCUAUUUUUCCCUCCUUUUUUCCCAAUUUUUUUCCUUUUUUCCUCAUUUUCCCCUCUUUUUUUCCCAAUUUUUUUCCAAUUUUUUUCCUCUUUUUUCCUCAUUUUUCCUUUUUCCUCUUUUUUCCUCAUUUUUCCCUAUUUUUCCCUCAUUUUUUCCCAAUUUUUUUCCUCCUUUUUUCCUCUUUUUUUCUAAAUUUUUUCCCUCCUUUUUUCCUCCUUUUUUCCCCAUUUUUUUCCUCUUUUUUUUUCCAAUUUUUUCUCUGUUUUUUCCCAUUUUUUCCUCAUUUUUCCCCACUUUUUCUUCUGUUUUUUAUCAGUUUUUUUCCUCCUUUUUUCCUAAUUUUUUUCCUUUUCUCCCAAUUUUUUUCCUCAUUUUUUCCUCCUUUUUUCCCAAUUUUUUCCUCUUUUUUUCCCAAUUUUUUCCUCAUUUUUCCCUAUUUUUCCCUCAUUUUUUCCCAAUUUUUUUCCUUUUUUCCUCAUUUUUUCCUCCUAUUUUCCCAAUUUUUUUCCUCUUUUUUUCCCAAUUUUUUCUCUUUUUUUUCCCAUUUUUUCCUCAUUUUUCCCCACUUUUUUCUCUGUUUUUUCCCAAUUUUUUUCCUCCUUUUUUUCUCAUUUUUUCCUCCUUUUUUCCAAAUUUUUUUCCUCCUAUUUUCCUCAUUUUUUCCUCCUUUUUUCCCAAUUUUUUUCCUCCUUUUUUCCCAAUUUUUUUCCUCCUUUUUUCCUCAUUUUUUCCUAUUUUCCCAAUUUUUUCCCUCAUUUUUUCCCAAUUUUUUUCCUCCUUUUUUUCUCAUUUUUUCCUCCUUUUUUCCAAAUUUUUUUCCUCUUUCUUCCCAAUUUUUUUCCUCUUUUUUUCCCAAUUUUUUCCCUAUUUUUCCCUCAUUUUUUCCCAAUUUUUUUCCUCCUUUUUUCCCUAUUUUUUCCUUUUUUCCCAAUUUUUUUCCUGCUUUUUUCCCAAUUUUUUUCCUUUUUGCCCAAUUUUAUCCCUCCUUUUUUCCCAAUUUUUUUUCCUCUUUUUUUCCCAAUUUUUGCUUCAUUUUUUCCCCAUUUUUCCCUCAUUUUUUUCCCCAUUUUAACCCAAUUUUCCCCCAAUUUUUUCCCAACUUUUUCUUCACUUUUCCCCAAUUUUUUCCCACUUUUCCCUCAUUUUUCCCUCAUUUUUUCCCCUUUUUUUACAAGUUUUUCCUUAUUUUUCUUAAUUUUUUCCCCAUUUUUUCCCCACUUUUUUCCCCA
ensembl:lncRNA